GUCUCUGAUAGCUCAAAUGGUAGAUCCUCGGCGCGUAACUAAAAGAUCCGGGUUCGAAUCCCGGUCUGGACU
rnacentral:tRNA from 1 species